rnacentral:rRNA from 1 species
UACGUAGGCAGCGAGCGUUUGUUCGGAGUUACUGGGCGUAAAGAGUGCGUAGGCGGUUUCGUAAGUUUGGUGUGAAAUCUCCCGGCUUAACUGGGAGGGUGCGCCGAAAACUGCGGGGGCUUGAGAGUGGGAGAGGUAAGCGGAAUUCCUGGUGUAGCGGUGAAAUGCGUAGAUAUCGGGAGGAACACCAGUGGCGAAGGCGGCUCUCUGGGGUGCAUCUGACGCUGGAGGAGCGAAAGCGUGGGGAGCGAACCGG